rnacentral:rRNA from 1 species
AUGAUCACACUCUACAGGGAAAUGGAAAGAGGGAAGGAAUUUAUGAUGAGGCAAGAGCUUAUUGAUGUUGCUGAGGCCAGUGGUCUGUCAGAACAUGCAAUAGGCCCAAACAACAGUAGGAAUUCUCGAAAUGAAGGUUACAGUUACACUGGAUGGAAUAGCAUGAAGACGUUAACAAAUAAGGAUCUGGUUGAGAAAAAGAGUAAUCCUGCAAAGUAUUACCUAACAGAAAAGGGCAAAGAAACAACUCGCGAUUGUCUCGCACGGUCUGGAUUGGAUGGUCCUGCAGGACCUUUAACGGCGACCGGUCAUCCUGCAGUUGUGCUCAGUGAUUCAGAUUCUGAUGAAUAUGACGGCAGCAGUCCCCUGAUAGGUUCUGAAAGAAGUGGAUUUCCAAACUCAAAAGCAGGCAGUUCCAGUUCCUUUGGCAACGGCCAUGCUAUUAAUUCUCCUCUUUCAUCUCGAGGAAUGUUUGGACAGCAAUCGUUUAGUGCUAUGGGUUCUGCUGAAAAGUGUUUACUAGCUGUGCCACCUCAUCAAUCUAAUGAAAGUUUUCUGAAAGCUUAUGAAGUGGUGUUGAUAUUGUAUGAUCGAGAUACUUUCGGGCCCCGUUCCAGAAGAAAAGUUGUUGAUAAUAUACGCUCGCAGUUUAAUAUUCCUGUAGAGAUUAAACACUUGCCUGUUGGAGAUGCUCUUUGGAUUGCUCGCCAUAAAGAACUUGACACGGAGUAUGUUCUUGAUUUCAUUGUUGAAAGGAAAAAUGUGGAUGAUUUACUUGGCUCAAUUAAAGACAACAGAUACAAAGAUCAAAAACUAAGACUGAAGAAAUGUGGGCUAAGGAAGCUAAUAUAUCUAGUUGAAGGGGAUGUAAACACUGUAGAUGGAUCAGAGAGCGUUAAAACAUCCUGCUUCACUACUGAGGUUCUUGAAGGAUUUGAUGUCCAGAGAACCACUGGGUAUGCUGACACUGAAAAGAAAUACGGCCACCUCACGGGCUCUAUAAUUGAUUACUAUAGCAGAAACUUCUCUGCUGGUGCUGAUACCUCUCGACUUUGCCUGACCUACGACGAGUUUGUGAAGAGGUGUUCUGACCUUGAGAAGGUCACUAUGAGCGAUAUAUUCGCCCUUCAGCUUAUGCAGGUGCCACAAGUGACAGAUGAAGCUGCCCUUGCUGUCACGAGUCUCUACCCCACUCUUCUCUCGCUUGCUAAGGCAUACACCAUGCUUGAUGGCGAUAGGCGUGCCCAGGAGGAGAUGCUGAAGAACAAGAGCGACAUGGUCAACGCGGGGGCCAGCAAGAACAUCUUCAAGCUCAUCUGGGCGGAAGGAUGA